rnacentral:rRNA from 1 species
UACGUAGGGUGCAAGCGUUAAUCGGAAUUACUGGGCGUAAAGCGUGCGCAGGCGGUUGUGCAAGACCGAUGUGAAAUCCCCGGGCUCAACCUGGGAAUGGCAUUGGUGACUGUACGGCUAGAGUGUGUCAGAGGGGGGUAGAAUUCCACGUGUAGCAGUGAAAUGCGUGGAGAUGUGGAGGAAUACCGAUGGCGAAGGCAGCCCCCUGGGAUAACACUGACGCUCAUGCACGAAAGCGUGGGGAGCAAACAGG